rnacentral:rRNA from 1 species
GGUGGCAAGCGUUNNAUCCGGAAUUAAUNGGGCGUAAAGCGCGCGUAGGCGGUUUUUUAAGUCUGAUGUGAAAGCCCACGGCUCAACCGUGGAGGGUCAUUGGAAACUGGAAAACUUGAGUGCAGAAGAGGAAAGUGGAAUUCCAUGUGUAGCGGUGAAAUGCGCAGAGAUAUGGAGGAACACCAGUGGCGAAGGCGACUUUCUGGU